rnacentral:rRNA from 1 species
AUUGAACGCUGGCGGCAUGCCUAACACAUGCAAGUCGAACGGAAGAGCGGUGUUCGCUCUUGGAUCCAGUGGCGGACGGGUGAGUAAUGCCUAGGAAUUUGCCCAGUAGUGGGGGAUAACCCCCCGAAAGGGGCAUUAAUACCGCAUACGACCUGAGGGAGAAAGUGGGGGAUCUUCGGACCUCACGCUAUCUGAUGAGCCUAGGUCGGAUUAGCUAGUUGGUGGGGUAAAGGCCUACCAAGGCGACGAUCCGUAACUGGUCUGAGAGGACGAUCAGCCACACUGGGACUGAGACACGGUCCAGACUCCUACGGGAGGCAGCAGUGGGGAAUUUUGGACAAUGGGCGGAAGCCUGAUCCAGCCAUGCCGCGUGUGUGAAGAAGGUCUUCGGGUUGUAAAGCACUUUUGGUUGGGAAGAAGGGCAGUGGGUUAAUACCUUGCUGUUUUGACGGUACCGGAAGAAUAAGCACCGGCUAACUACGUG